UCUCUCUGUUGUUCGUUUUUCGUUUUAUGUCUGUGUUGUAUGCGCUGCCUUUUUUUUUUUUUUUUUUUCUCCUGUUCUUUUUCGCUUCUUUUCGUUCGUUUAGAAUAAUAUGAAAACUUUUCUUUCACUUUAUCCCUUUUUUUAUUUAUCUCUGUUUAUUAUUUUAGGAGGAGUAGUGGGUGGCGAGGGGACGGAAAGUGGAAUAUGAGAAGAUGAUGCUUGAUGGUGAUAUUUUUUCUUGACCUUUUUCUCCGUUCCUUCACCUCCCCCGUUCUAUCUCAUCAAUAUCUUCUAGAUUCCUCUUCUCUCUUGUAUCCUCCUUUCUCUCCCCUUUUCCCCCUUCUCCUUUUAUUCCUUUCACCUCUCAGUAAUUUACUUUUGCUACAUCCACACAUAAAAUAAAAGGAAUCCCGGUUUGCUUUAAUUCUAUUUUAAAAACCAACCAUAUCUCAGCUUCUUACUUAGCACUCACUCACACGUACUACGCACAUCUAUAUAGCGCUCGCGCCCUAUACCUGCUCUUCAAAUCCCGCUUCCAAAUGUCCCUUAUCCCCCUUGCCCCUUCCACCGAUAUCCCGCUUAAUCAUGCCUCUACACGAGGUACUUGUGCUUCUACCUGACUUACCUGUAUUUGGAUAUAUAUCUGUAAUUGGCGAAGGAGCUCCUAUUCCCACGGCACGAAACAAAAAAAGGAAAACCAGUGGAGGUAGAAAAGUGGUGAAGAAAGAGAAGGGAAAUAGGAGAAAAAAGAGGGGCAGCUGGGAGGAGAUAGCAGGAGUCGAUUUUUUUUUAAAAAAAAAAAUAAAAUAAAAUAAAAUAAAAUAAAAAUAAAAAUAAUACAA
rnacentral:sRNA from 1 species